AAUAUUUCACAAUGGAGGGAACUCUGCUGCAGCAACGCCGCGCGAGUGAAGAAGGUUUUCGGAUCGUAAAACUCUGUCAUUGGGGAAGAAUAAAUGACGGUACCCAAUGAGGACGCUCCGGCUAACUACGUCCCAGCAGCCGCGGUAACACGUAGGGGGCGAGCGUUGUCCGGAAUUACUGGGCGUAAAGGGUACGUAGGCGGCAAUAUAAGUCAGGUGUGAAAUACCAGUGCUUAACACUGGAAUUGCAUUUGAAACUGUGUAGCUUGAGUGCAGGAGAGGAAAGUGGAAUUCCUAGUGUAGCGGUGAAAUGCGUAGAGAUUAGGAGGAACACCAGUGGCGAAGGCGACUUUCCGGACUGUAACUGACGCUGAGGUACGAAAGCGUGGGUAGCGAACA
rnacentral:rRNA from 1 species